rnacentral:rRNA from 1 species
UACAUGCAAGCGAGCGGAAUGAUGAAGAAGCUUGCUUCUUCUGAUUUUAGCGGCGGACGGGUCGAGUAACACGUGGGCAACCUACCUUGUAGAUUGGGAUAACUCCGGGAAACCGGGGCUAAUACCGAUAAUCCAUUUUGCUUCAUGGCGAGAUGUUGAAAGACGGUUUCGGCUGUCACUAUAAGAUGGGCCCGCGGCGCAUUAGCUAGUUGGUAGGGUAAUGGCCUACCAAGGCGACGAUGCGUAGCCGACCUGAGAGGGUGAUCGGCCACACUGGGACUGAGACACGGCCCAGACUCCUACGGGAGGCAGCAGUAGGGAAUCUUCCACAAUGGACGAAAGUCUGAUGGAGCAACGCCGCGUGAGUGAAGAAGGUUUUUCGGAUCGUAAAAACUCUGUUGUAAGGGAAGAACACGUACGAGAGUAACUGCUCGUACCUUGACGGUACCUUAUUAGAAAGCCACGGCUAACUACGUG